rnacentral:rRNA from 1 species
CGACCGCUGGCGGCGUGCUUAACACAUGCACGUCGAACGGAAAGGCCCUGCUUUUGUGGGGUGCUCGAGUGGCGAACGGGUGAGUAACACGUGAGUAACCUGCCCUUGACUUUGGGAUAACUUCAGGAAACUGGGGCUAAUACCGGUUAGGAGCUCCUGCUGCAUGGUGGGGGUUGGAAAGUUUCGGCGGUUGGGGAUGGACUCGCGGCUUAUCAGCUUGUUGGUGGGGUAGUGGCUUACCAAGGCUUUGACGGGUAGCCGGCCUGAGAGGGUGACCGGCCACAUUGGGACUGAGAUACGGCCCAGACUCCUACGGGAGGCAGCAGUGGGGAAUAUUGCACAAUGGGCGGAAGCCUGAUGCAGCAACGCCGCGUGCGGGAUGACGGCCUUCGGGUUGUAAACCGCUUUCGCCUGUGACGAAGCGUGAGUGACGGUAAUGGGUAAAGAAGCACCGGCUAACUACGUG